rnacentral:sRNA from 1 species
AACAUGUUCAUAAACAUAAGAAUUGAUGCACUUUUUCCUCCCAGAGAUGCUGGUUAGCAGUGCUAGUGCAGAACUGACUUUACAAGAUAACAGUAAAAAUACUGCCCUCCAUUUGGCUUGUAGCAAGGGUCAUGAAACUAGUGCCUUGUUAAUACUGGAAAAGAUAACAGAUAGAAACCUCAUCAAUGCAACCAACGCAGCCUUGCAAACGUGAGUACUGUCAGUAUCUAGUAUAAACUUUGUGACCUAUAAUUAUAAAAAUGAUAAAUGAAUUUUUUUAAACAUGUGACUAUUGGAAUAGGUUUCAUUAGUCAUAGAAGCAAUUGUAAUAGUUUUACAACUGUCAAAACUCAUUUCUAAAAUGAUCACAACUAAAAGGCAUAUUAUUUAAAAUGCUUUUGAACUGAAAUUUUAUUACAACAUUGACAAUAAUGUAUUUUUUCCUUAAUCCACCUACCUAAUUUUCUGAAGGAAAGUAGUACUAUUUUGUGUAUUCUAUGGAAAUCAUCUGUAAUAAUAAUGUUACUUGAAACUAACAAUAAAUGAGGUAAGAAGCUUUAUAUGUGUCUGUAAGCCAAUAAAGUUUCU